ensembl:misc_RNA Metazoa_SRP Metazoan signal recognition particle RNA
GCUGGGUGUGGUGGCGGGCACCUGUAAUCCCAGCUACUUGGGAGGCUGAGGCAUGAGAAUCACUUGAACCCAGGAGGCGGAGGUUGCAGUGAGCUAAGAUUGUGCCAUUGCAGUCCAGCCUGGGCAACAAAGUGAGACUCUGUCUCAA